rnacentral:rRNA from 1 species
UGGGGAAUAUUGCACAAUGGGCGCACGCCUGAUGCAGCCAUGCCGCGUGUGUGAAGAAGGCCUUCGGGUUGUAAAGCACUUUCAGCGGGGAGGAAGGCGUUAAGGUUAAUAACCUUGGCGAUUGACGUUACCCGCAGAAGAAGCACCGGCUAACUCCGUGCCAGCAGCCGCGGUAAUACGGAGGGUGCAAGCGCUAAUCGGAAUUACUGGGCGUAAAGCGCACGCAGGCGGUCUGUCAAGUCGGAUGUGAAAUCCCCGGGCUCAACCUGUGAACUGCAUCUGAUACUGGCAAGCUUGAGUCUCGUAGAGGGGGGUAGAAUUCCAGGUGUAGAGGUGAAAUGCGUAGAGAUCUGGAGGAAUACCGGUGGCGAAGGCGGCCCCCUGGACGAAGACUGACGCUCAGGUGCGAAAGCGUGUGGAGCAAACAGG